CUACGGGAGGCAGCAGUAGGGAAUCUUCGGCAAUGGACGGAAGUCUGACCGAGCAACGCCGCGUGAGUGAAGAAGGUUUUCGGAUCGUAAAGCUCUGUUGUAAGAGAAGAACGAGUGUGAGAGUGGAAAGUUCACACUGUGACGGUAUCUUACCAGAAAGGGACGGCUAACUACGUGCCAGCAGCCGCGGUAAUACGUAGGUCCCGAGCGUUGUCCGGAUUUAUUGGGCGUAAAGCGAGCGCAGGCGGUUAGAUAAGUCUGAAGUUAAAGGCUGUGGCUUAACCAUAGUACGCUUUGGAAACUGUUUAACUUGAGUGCAGAAGGGGAGAGUGGAAUUCCAUGUGUAGCGGUGAAAUGCGUAGAUAUAUGGAGGAACACCGGUGGCGAAAGCGGCUCUCUGGUCUGUAACUGACGCUGAGGCUCGAAAGCGUGGGGAGCAAACAGGAUUAGAUACCCGUGUAGUC
rnacentral:rRNA from 1 species